UACGGAGGGUGCGAGCGUUGUCCGGAAUCACUGGGCGUAAAGGGCGCGUAGGCGGCGCGGGAAGUCCGUGGUGAAAGCCCGAGGCUCAACUUCGGGUCGGCCAUGGAUACUCCUGGGCUCGAGCACUGUAGAGGCAGGUGGAAUUCCCGGUGUAGUGGUGGAAUGCGUAGAUAUCGGGAGGAACACCAGUGGCGAAGGCGGUUGCCUGGAGCUUUGCUGACGGCUGAGGCGCGAAAGCGUGGGGAGCGAGUCGGA
rnacentral:rRNA from 1 species